GGAGCCUGGAGGGGUGGGAGGAAGGGGCAGUCAGAGGCCAGGUUCUGAGGUCUUGCCUCUUACUAGAAGCUCAGAUUCUCAGAGGCGGUGGAACAGCGGCAGGUGGCACAGCGGGGUGGCUUUGGAGGCUGGGCCCACCCUUCUCAGGGGUGAGACUGGGAUGCUGGAAGCUCUUCUGGGAGUCUCCCCGGAGUAACAAGGCACAGUGGGGGCUGGCUUCGAACUAGCUUAGGAAUGUUUCCAGACCAAAGGACCAAGUUAGUGACCUCCCCAACUUCAUAUUUACUGUGCUUCUGGUGGAGGGGCCUCCGGGAUUCUUGUUGUGCCUGGCAGUGACCCUCCCACCAUGACCCUGUGCCUGGGAGAGAGCCCCACUAUGGCCUGUGCCUGGGAGCAACUCUGGAACACUGAGGGAUCAGCUCUGCAGAAGCGGAAUCAUCCUCAGCCACAUUCUGCGAUUCUGGGAGCAUCAGGGGGGCCUUUUGUUGGGAAGGUUGUUUUGCUUUUGGUCCUUCCUGCCAUUGGCUACAAUGGCGACUCAUGAGUAAGCUGAGAACGGUUAAAAGAAACAAAGACUGGUCCAGUGGCUUUUGCACACCUCCACUCCCCCGACAGACAGUGUCUCUCAAAAGCUUUUCUAAGGACCGCUGAGCGCCCACAUCAGCAUUAGUGAGCAGACCGAGCCAAAAAUGCAGAUCUCAGUCCCAGCCUAGGCCUGGACCAGAAUCUCUAGGGAGAGGGUCUGUAAAUUCGCACUUGAACAGGUUUCCCGUGGCAUUCAGAUGUACAUUUAUGCAGGGAUCCUCAAACUUGCCGCUCAGCAGAACCACCUGGAGAGUUUCUAACAACCCGACACCAGGCUGGGCCUGUGCCAGUGACUGUCAGGGUGGAACCAGGCCUCGGGACUUUUGAAAUGCCCCAGGCGAUUCCCAGGUGCAGCCAAGGUUGAGAUCAGUGCUCUGCCUUCAGUGCUUCUCAAAUUUAUGUGCAUGCAGAUCACCUGCAGGUCCGGAUAAAAUGCAGACUCCUGCUCAGUAAGUCUGGGUGGGGCCCAAGAGUCAUUCCUGUUAUGGAGCUCCCAGGCCUGCUGCUUCUGGGGUUUGCAGACCCCACGUGGAGCAUCAGGGCCCUCACCGGCUGACCCACUGCUUCAGACAGCAAGCUGUUCAAAGACAACUCCAUGCUGGGAGCUGAUUAUGAUACCACAGUCUCUAGGAUGAAGCUCACAAAAGGCCAUUAGGAUCGAUGUCUUAGAAGAGCAUCUCCAAUCCGUGCCCUCCUCUGUGCAGGCUGUUUUCUUUGGAAGGAAGUCGCAAUGAGCAGCCCUCUCUUAAGGAAUAGAGGGGUAUACAGAGGAGAAAAUGAUAUGAUGACAGAGCAAAGAGAGAUUUGCAGAUGCUGGCCUCGAAGAUUAUAGAAAAGUGACCACAAGCCAAGGGUUACUGGCAGCCACCAAAAGCUGGAUCAGGCUGUCUUCUAGAGACUCUGGACAGAGGGUGGCCCUACGACACCUUGAUUCCAGCCCAGUGAUAUUGAUUGCGGACUUCUGGCUUCCAGAACUGUAAGAGAACACAUUUUUGUUUCUCCAAGCCACCCAGUUUGUAUAAUUUGUUGCAACAGCCACUGGAAACUAUUAAUCAUUUAUUUACAUUGAUAUGAACACAUGAAUAUUUUAUUUGUAUUAUGGGUUAUAAUCCAAUGUUACUUGUUUUAUUGCUUAAAUCAUUCAAGUUUUGGAUAUUGGGAUCUCUUCCAUUUGGCUUCUGGGCCUCUUUGGCGUACCCCGUUGUCUUAGUCCAUUCGAGACGCUAUAACAAAACUACUGUGGACUGGGCGACUUACACAGCAAGCAUUUCUUUCUGACAGUUCUGGAGGCUGGAAGUCCAAGACCAAGGUGUGGGCGGCUUUGGUGUCUGAUGAGGGUCUGCUUCCAAUGCAUCGAAGGUCGUUGUCUCACUGUAUCUUCACAUGAUGGAAAGAGCGUGAGACAACUCCCUGGGGUCUCUUUUAUAGGGCACCGAUCCCAUUUGUGACAGCUCCAUCCUUACGCCCUAAUCACUUCCCAAAACCUCUACCUCCUAAGACCAUCAAACUGAGGGUAGUAUUUCAAUAUGUGAAUUUUGGGGGGACACAAACAUUCAGUGUAUAACAUCCAUCAAUGUGGAUUUUGUUGAGCACUUCCUUCCUUUGGGGGACUGCAAGAUGCUUCAGGUUGAUCUCGUGCAUAUCCUCUUCCAUAGAAUCAUCCAUUUCUCCAAGGAGCCCUGGUUCCUUUUAAUGGUUUAUGAUAUUGGAAAUAAAGACUCAGGGGCUAGGUGUCCUUAUUGCUCCUAGAGUGUCAUUUCUUUUAGCCCCUCCAGCUGACAGAGCAAGGAAAAUAUGUAUGUGUAGUAACCUAUGUGUAUACACAUUUCCACUAAUACUUCUGUAUGUAAACGUAUGUAUCUAUAUUAGACUAAACAUGUGUUCUUACUGAUGUGAAACGCUGAUCCAUUACUUCACAAAUCAUUCUCCCUCCUCCCCUUCUUACCUGAAAAUUCCCUCUCUCACAGGGAGAAGCCAAGUUCCCACCUUUAUCAUUUGUUUGCUUAAUCAUUCAGUUCCGCUAUACAGGUGUAGCAUUAUCUGAACUGUUCAUGAGCAUCCUUGUGGGACACAACUCUAUCAAGUAGAGCACAGUGCUUAUGUGCAAGGUCUUUGCCUACAGUCUUACAGAAUCCAUUCGUUCCCAAAGUUGCUUAUGACAGCACAUCCACACCCGCCUUCAGUGAGGUUGUUUCCUAUAUUUGUAAUGCAAAUAGAUUCUCUUGUCACAGUCUGGAUUCCUUCCUAGGCUCUCUAAGACUUGUUUUUAAUUUGCACACAUUAAGGACCACUCUUUGUGCUCUAAAAUUCUAUGCUGCAAAUGCGUCUAUUAUAGUAUCAUGUGGAAUACUUUGACACCCUAAAAACCCCCUGUGUUUCAUUUAUUCAAUCUUCUCCCCUUCCCAAUACCCUAGCAACCACUGACUUUUUUUCUAUCUCUACAGUUUUGUCUUUUCCAGAACAUCAUAUAAUUGGGAUCAUACAGUAUGGAGUCUUUUCUUACUGACUUCUUUCACUUCGCAAUA
ensembl:lncRNA